rnacentral:lncRNA from 1 species
GGCUUUCAUGCGGUCCACGAUGGACCGACGGCAUUUUGGAGUACGUUUCUCACAGUCUUUGAGGAUUUUUGUGGACUGGAUGAUCAGACGCACGAUCGAACGACAACUGGGGGCUUAUGGGUGCGAUCUGGCGGUUCAGGAGAUUCUGGGGUGUUACCAGGAGUCCUGUUACAUCUUGAACUCGAGAUUGAAUAUGGAUUUUGGCUUUUAAGAGGCCUGCGACGAAACAAAGAGCACCCAUGGCCUGUGGUGAGUUCGGCAGAGACCUGUGUGCAGCAACUA